rnacentral:rRNA from 1 species
UCGGAAUUACUGGGCGUAAAGUGUGCGCAGGUGGCUUCGCAAGUCGAGUGUGAAAUCCCCGGGCUUAACCUGGGAAUUGCGCUCGAAACUACGGAGCUGGAGUAUGGAAGAGGGAGGUGGAAUUCCACGUGUAGCGGUGAAAUGCGUAGAGAUGUGGAGGAACACCAAUGGCGAAGGCAGCCUCCUGGGCCAAUACUGACACUCAUGCACGAAAGCGUGGGGAGCAAACAGG